rnacentral:rRNA from 1 species
CAGUAGCCGCGGGAAUACGGGGGGGGCAAGUGUUAUUCGGAAUGACUGGGCGUAAAGGGCACGUAGGCGGUGAAAAGGGUGGAAAGUGAAAGUCGCCAAAACACUGGCGGGGUGCUUUCUUGACCAUUUCACUUGAGUGAGAUAGGGGAGAGUGGAAUUUCGUGUGGAGGGAUCAAAUCCUAAGAUAUACGAAGGAACGCCAACCGCGAAGGCAGCUCUCUGGGUCCCCACUGACGCUGGGGUGCGAAAGCAUGGGGAGCAAACAGGAUCAGAUACCCGUGUAGUCCCUGUCUCUUAUACA